ACAACUUUGAAAAACUUUAGAAGUCUAAGGCAGAUAAACAGUGUAAAAUAAUUUAGAUGAAAGAGUCACUCAUCUCCUUCCAAAGAGGUGAUCUUAAAAUGCAUUGAGACAUGAUCAAUGUGGUAAUGUUUUUUUUUAAUAGGACGAUGCAACUGUGUUUUAAGGACUUUAUUUUAGGGAAUUAAAAAAAAACACUUGCUCAAUGUUGGGGUUGUGGGAGAGGCAGAAUAAAAGAAAAAUGUAAAAGAUGAUUCUGGGAGGGGGAGAGGGAGCUAUGUGGGAAAUUUGGAUACAUAAUAUCUGGCACGUAGUAGCACUUACAUGUUUAUUAUUAUGGAUGGAUAUAAAAACAAAAUAUCGAAAAAAAAAUUAAAUUGUCACUUCACAACUGAUUAUCCAUUCUCCAAUGUCUCAAAUUUAGAUACUUAUAUGUUUCAAAGAGUUAAAGAGUAUCUAAAUGAUAGAUUACCUUCUUAAUCUUUAGACAAAUGUUUUAAAUGGAAUCUUUCUACCUAAAGUUUGGAAGCAGAAGGAAGGAAGCGCGCAUUUAUUAGCCACCAGCCGUCUUCGCUCACUGUGAGCGCCUGGCGAAUAUAAUCUCAUUUGAUCAAAUUGAGGUAGAUACUCUUCUCUCCGGGGACAGACGGAGCUCAGAUUUGCGGAGAAUCUCUCGGCCCCUUUCGAACUCACUCCACUGGCCAGAGAGCUGCGUCCGCCAUUCCACUCGAAAGCCUCAGAAGGGGUGAGCAAGGUUAAGAGAAGAGGGACGGGAAAGAAAAGCGAAAGCUUCGCGUCGGGCGAAGAGGCUUUGCAAGGAAGCGUCGGUGUCCUUAGGUGGAGCGCUUCCCGCCCUCAGGGAGCUUCCAUUCUAACUGGGGGUAAGGCUCGGAAUACGACAGGGCCCCGGACACAGAGGGUUCCUCGGACAAUGGGGUUCUGGAAGGCGUCACCCACGAGGCAGAGGUAAGGAGUACAGGGUCGGGGGCGACCCCCUGGCCAUUGUUCAGCCGCACAAUUGAUGGACGUUGAGCGUUCUCCAUCCGCAGCCACCGAACUUCCAGAGGAUUGGGAGACUAGCUAGCGUCGGGAAGGAGAGCCCCACUUCCGCGCCUCCGCCUUCUCUCCUGCCUCUUCGGCCCGCCUCCCUCUCUCCCCCCCCCGCUGCGUCACCCCCUUCUUGGUCCUUAGUAACAGAAUAAACACCGAGCAGGCUCCGCCCCUCGGGAGGAAGGUGGCGAAAUGGACGUUGGCGUGCUCGCGCGCGAGUGACUUUGACCGAAGCUGCAGUUACUGGGAGCAGUCUACGAUGGAUUGUGAACUGACCCUGUGAUCACAAGUCAACGGAAAGCAAGGCUUUAUCAUGCCAGGUAAAGGCAAAAAGGUAAAAGGCCGGGGACAGAGCCGGGGUGGGAAGAAAGGAAAAAAGCCUGAAGUGGACAUCCUUCACCCAGCUACCAUGCUGAACCUGUAUUACAUCGCCCACAAUGUUGCUGACUGCCUACAAUUCCGUGGUUUCCGCUGGCCAGGGGCUGGCAAGAAAAAGAAAGGAAAGAAGAUAUAACAGUGGAUGGAUGGAUGGAUGCCUUUAUAGCAUAUCUUCAUAACCAUGAAUUGUAACUAUUAACAGAAAUGUACAGUGAAGGGAUACAACCAAAACAGCCACUGAAGCAGAUUAAACUUUAAUGAAAACACCUUGAACUGGAGAAUGACUAGAGCUCUUGGAGUUAAGGAUAAAGGAAUGGAAUUAUCACUUAACGCUUGUGCCCAAGGGAAACAUUAAAUUUCUUUUUUUUUUUCUUUUUUUUUUUUUUUUUUUUAGGAACUUAAGGCAAAAAUGUGUCUAAGUAGUUAUCAAACUGGGUGGUUGAUUUCAGAAUACUGUUUGGUUCUAAUCAUUCUUUGUUACAUGUCAGAAUUAAAUUUUGCUUGGUGAAUCUAGUUCUCUUGCACUCAUUUUCUGCUGAUAACAGUAAAUGUGAACCUCCUCAUCCCUGAAGAGAGAGGCAGGUGAUUAUCCAUAUGAAGUUGCGGCAUGCUGUGCCAUAAUAAUGUCCAUCUCUGCCUGCCCACCACCACCAUUUUGAGGGGGAAAUAAUUAAGAAAACUAUUUUGUCCGUUUAGUGUGCUCCUCCCCUCCCCCUGACUGUUUUCCUGAUUUGAAAUAACUACAACUGCCUGCAGAGACUCCUCUGAGGCUUUAAUAACAUCAGCAAAAUGUGCUUUGUGCUAGCCAGAGCAUAUAAAAGGAUAAAAACUGCAAGGCACUUGUCAGUCAUUUGAGUGAAUAAAGAAAUGAGCCGGCAUGGAGAUAGUGGAAAGAGCUCAGUAUUUGGUUCCAGAAGACCUGGCUUUGACUCCUGACUGCCACUUAUUGCCCAGGGGAUUCUGUACAAGCCAUUUCGCCUCUCUGGACCUCAGUUUCCACAUUUGUACAAUGUAGAGGUUGGACUAGAUCAGAAGUGUCAAACUCAAUUAGUUAAAAUGUAAUUGGGAAAUGUUUACCAAAAAAAAAAAAAAAAUACAAACAUGUUAAUUUGUGAUUUUCUAAGCCAUGAUGGGACUUACUGGAUUCUGUUUCUAUUUGAGUUUGACACAGCUGGACUAGAUGAUCUCUAUUAUACUAGAUAUAGCUUGUUUGUAUAUAUUAGUUUGCUGCUUGUCUCUUUAGAUUGUGAGCUCUCUGAGGGCAGGGACUCUCUUUUUUGCCUUUCUUUGUAUCCACAAUGUUUAGUACAAUGCCUAGCACAGAGGAGGCAAUUAAUAAAAGUUUAUUAACUGACUGGUCUAUU
rnacentral:lncRNA from 1 species